rnacentral:rRNA from 1 species
UACGUAGGGUGCGAGCGUUAAUCGGAAUUACUGGGCGUAAAGCGUGCGCAGGCGGUCUGUUAAGACAGAUGUGAAAUCCCCGGGCUUAACCUGGGAACUGCAUUUGUGACUGGCAGGCUAGAGUAUGGCAGAGGGGGGUAGAAUUCCACGUGUAGCAGUGAAAUGCGUAGAGAUGUGGAGGAAUACCGAUGGCGAAGGCAGCCCCCUGGGCCAAUACGUGACGCUCAUGCACGAAAGCGUGGGGAGCAAACAGG